UACGUAGGGGGCAAGCGUUGUCCGGAAUCAUUGGGCGUAAAGAGCGUGUAGGCGGCCAGGUAGGUCUGCUGUGAAAACUCGAGGCUUAACCUCGAGCUGUCGGCGGAAACCAUCUGGCUAGAGUCCGGAAGAGGAGAAUGGAAUUCCCGGUGUAGCGGUGAAAUGCGCGGAUAUCGGGAAGAACACCCGUGGCGAAGGCGGUUCUCUGGGACGGUACUGACGCUGAGACGCGAAAGCGUGGGGAGCGAACAGG
rnacentral:rRNA from 1 species